rnacentral:rRNA from 1 species
AUGCAUGUCUCAGUGCAAGCCGUAUUAAGGCGAUACCGCGAAUGGCUCAAUAUAUCAGUUUUGGUUCCUUAGAUCUUACUCAGUUACUUGGAUAACUGUGGUAAUUCUAGAGCUAAUACAUGCAAUUAGAACUCUGACCAGUGAUGGGACGAGUGCUUUUAUUAGAUCAAAACCAAUCGACGGAGGGCCUCGCGUCCGAAGUCGUUAAUUUUGAUGAAUCUGGAUAACUUUUGCCGAUCGCACGGUCUAGAACCGGCGACGCAUCUUUCAAAUGUCUGCCUUAUCAACUUUCGAUGGUAGUUUCUGCGACUACCAUGGUUGUCACGGGUAACGGGGAAUCAGGGUUCGAUUCCGGAGAGGGAGCCUGAGAAACGGCUACCACAUCCAAGGAAGGCAGCAGGCGCGCAAAUUACCCACUCCCGGCACGGGGAGGUAGUGACGAAAAAUAACGAUACGGGACUCUUACGAGGCCUCGUAAUCGGAAUG